GUGUCAGCAGCCGCGGUAAGACGAACCGUCCAAACGUUACUCGGAAUUACUGGGCUUAAAGGGUGCGUAGGCGGCUCUGUAAGUUGGGUGUGAAAGACCUCGGCUCAACCGAGGAAUUGCGCCCAAAACUACAGGGCUUGAGGAAGGCAGAGGUGAGCGGAACUUGCGGUGGAGCGGUGAAAUGCGUUGAUAUCGCAAGGAACACCAGUGGCGAAAGCGGCUCACUGGGCCUUUUCUGACGCUGAGGCACGAAAGCUAGGGGAGCGAAGAGGAUUAGAUACCCUCGUAGUCC
rnacentral:rRNA from 1 species